rnacentral:rRNA from 1 species
UACGAAGGGGGCUAGCGUUGUUCGGAAUUACUGGGCGUAAAGCGCACGUAGGCGGAUUUGCCAGUCAGGGGUGAAAUCCCGGGGCUCAACCUCGGAACUGCCUCUGAUACAGCAAGUCUUGAGUCCGGAAGAGGUGAGUGGAAUUCCUAGUGUAGAGGUGAAAUUCGUAGAUAUUAGGAAGAACACCAGUGGCGAAGGCGGCCCACUGGUCCGGUACUGACGCUGAAGCACGAAAGCGUGGGGAGCAAACAGG